CUCUCCUACAUCCUGCUGCGAAUCCUUUUCCAUCGGCGCGAUCCCAUACUACUCCUACUCAGUGAAUUUGCUCUCUACCUUCUAAUCAGCUUGUUUUUGACGAAUCGUCAAUACAGAAGAUGAAUACGCAAGAUCCGUUACAUAGCCCAGUACCGAAGUGGCCAACAAGGUUGAACUCAGCGACUUUGCAGAUACCGUAACCAAAGGUUGCUGUUCAAUAGUUUAACGCGAAGAUGCAAACGUCUGCUCAAGCCACAGCUAGCCAUCGCAACUAAAUGCUGCAGAAGUUUUCUACAAGCAUCAUUAUAGGAAACGAUAAUGAUGUUCGAGAUGAUCAGUUGGCUACACCCGGACGUAAGAAAAUCGGUACGGGGAGACGCAGCUCAUGUUAAACUGCUAUAAAAGCAAAUUUCUAGUUCGUCAGCUAACACCUGCAAAGCUCUAGCAGACUUGCAAUACGACAAAGACAAACGCACACUCACACUUGAGCAAAAAAUUCAUGCGUAAUUGGCAUAGCUAUAACACUGUCAGUCAUAAAUCGAUGAACUUUUCAUUUAACUUGAUCCUGUAAGUGAUUUAUAAUGAAAAUAAAAUUUGUAAUAAAGAA